ACGAACGCUGGCGGCAUGCCUAACACCUGCAAGUCGAACGAGACCUUCGGGUCUAGUGGCGCACGGGUGCGUAACGCGUGGGAACCUGCCCUUAGGUUCGGAAUAACUCCCCGAAAGGGGUGCUAAUACCGGAUAAUGUCUUCGGACCAAAGAUUUAUCGCCUUUGGAUGGGCCCGCGUUGGAUUAGCUAGUUGGUAGGGUAAAAGCCUACCGAGGCGACGAUCCAUAGCUGGUCUGAGAGGAUGAUCAGCCACACUGGGACUGAGACACGGCCCAGACUCCUACGGGAGGCAGCAGUGGGGAAUAUUGGACAAUGGGCGAAAGCCUGAUCCAGCAAUGCCGCGUGAGUGAUGAAGGCCUUAGGGUUGUAAAGCUCUUUUACCCGGGAUGAUAAUGACAGUACCGGGAGAAUAAGCUCCGGCUAACUCCGUA
rnacentral:rRNA from 1 species